GAAAUAUAAUAUAUUUAAGCUUCUAACUUAACUUUUAGUGAUUAAUUUCAUUAAUAUUUCU
rnacentral:tRNA from 1 species